rnacentral:rRNA from 1 species
GGCUAACGCUGGCGGCGCGCCUAACACAUGCAAGUCGAACGAACCCUUCGGGGUUAGUGGCCGACGGGUGAGUAACGCGUGGAUAAUGUGCCUCUUUGCUGGGGAUACCGUUCCGAAAGGAACGUUAAUACCGAAUGUGCUUGUUUGGCGGCAUCGUCAAGCAAGUAAACUGUUAGGGUGAAGAGAGCAGUCCGCGUUCUAUCAGCUAGUUGGUGAGGUAACGGCUCACCAAGGCUACGACGGAUAACUGGUCUGAGAGGAUGAUCAGUCACACUGGAACUGAGACACGGUCCAGACUCCUACGGGAGGCAGCAGUGAGGAAUCUUGCACAAUGGGCGAAAGCCGGAUGCAGCGACGCCGCGUGAGGGAUGAAGGCCUUCGGGUUGGAAACCUCUGUCAGUAGGGAAGAAGAAUGACGGUACCUACUGAGGAAGCUGCGGCUAACUACGUG